rnacentral:rRNA from 1 species
CAUGAGUGGCGGACGGGUGAGUAACGCGUGGGCAACCUGGCCUGUACAGGGGGAUAACACUUAGAAAUAGGUGCUAAUACCGCAUAACGGGGGAAGCCGCAUGGCUUUUCCCUGAAAACUCCGGUGGUACAGGAUGGGCCCGCGUCUGAUUAGCCAGUUGGCGGGGUAGGGGCCCACCAAGGCGACGAUCAGUAGCCGGCCUGAGAGGGUGGACGGCCACAUUGGGACUGAGACACGGCCCAAACUCCUACGGAAGGCAGCAG